ACCACUAUUUUUAUGUAAAUCUGGGUAAUUUUGUUUGUAAUUAACCCUUUUCUUUUUGAAUAAAGGUAAUUAACCCUUUUCUUAAUUCAACUUAAUGAUUAAAUAACAAGACCGAUUCUCUCGAAAAAAAAUCUCAAGACCGGUUCUAUGCUACUAGGAUCAGAGUGUGUUAUUGGGCUUGAGAAGUUGGGUCAAGAGUAUAAAUUUAGACCCAACAGAUUGUUGUCACACUCUUGCUUUAGGUGCUGGGACUGAGAUAAUACCUUACUCCAUUUCCAAACAUAAUUUAUGAAGGCAACUCCGGGCUCUGGUACCCCGACAUGUGUUAAUCCAGGGCAGGGCGAUGUAGAAGGGGGCUCAGCUCAUCUUUAGUCCAUAACAUAUUCAGUUUUCUUUAAAUAUUUCUUCACAUAUAAAAUGGGCCACUCUAUGUAACAUAAAACGAUCCGUUUUUAUGGUGAGCCCAAUCUAUAUGCAAUUUUUGUUGACUUUCUUGAUUCACGUAACACUCGAAGUGAAGAGUUUGCAAAGGUGUCACCAAAAUUUCCCUGAAAAAAUUAAAUGACGUCUUCCCCGUUCAAGACAAUUUUUUAAUAUCAAUCAAGCACCCUCUUUCGUAAAAUCUUGAAUCCGACACUCAUCCAGGUAUACUUAAAAUAUAAUGAUAUUGUAAAUUUUCUUAUUUAUAAAUAACUUUAAAUUUAUUACAAUAUCGCUCUUAUAUUAUACACACACACACAUCAAUUUUAUGAGCUCUUUAUUGUUUAACCAAACAAAUUAGAUUAUUAUUUCUUUUGGCACGCAAUGUUCCAAUGUGCCUGAAGUUGCAAUCACUUGAAAAGAUUAAUGAAGCACAGAAUUUAGGAGAAAGAAUAAAAUCAUCAAAGUGGGGAUAAAUCUCUAGUAUAUCCUCUGGACCUCUUCUAAAUCCAUGUUUACACUCAGAGCACGCCCUCAGAAUUUGAAUCAAGCUAUGUGACGGGGAUAUAUGGUAGAGACAAGAGAUCUAUAUCCCAAGUUUAAACUAUACUUAAAAGUAGUUUUAGUUGAAGUCACAAAGUUCAUUAUAGUGGGAUCUCUUUCAAAAUUUUAAACUUAAUUUAGAGUAUAGUGUUUCGCUCUGAUACCAUAUCACAAAACACAGUUACUCCAUUAAAGUAACCAGAGAACAAGCUCAAGGAAGAAAACACUCUAUAUUGAUGCUAUGUAAAAAACAGAACG
rnacentral:lncRNA from 1 species